rnacentral:tRNA from 1 species
AGCCUCCCGAAGAGAUUCGAACUUGUAAGCUCCUGUUUGCUAGACAGGCGCUUUAACCAACUAAGCUACAGCGC